rnacentral:lncRNA from 1 species
AUGAACACGGUUCGGCCCUUCCUCCCGAGGCCAAGAGAUCCAGUCUCACGCAGCAGGACAGGGCGGCGCUGCUCCCCGGAGGCCGCCGAGCGCAGACCCCGCGUCGCGUCCCCGGGGGAAAGGGGCACUCGGACCCCCGAGAUGCAGAGACUGAGGCCACACAUGUCCUUCAUGCUCAGGAGUGGCAGCCCUGGAGCGUCGCUUGUCCUUGUCCAGGUAGUCGCUAGGAGUCCUGGAAGGCCAUGUGAAGACCAACGGGAUGCGAUAUCUUAUCCAGGGUCUCCAGGGCCCCUGGUCCUCCUGCCUGCAUGGGCACUAAGGAAACUAACCUUGCUGACAGCCAAAGCAGGUAGUAGCUCAGGCCAAGUGUCGGAACACCCAAUGUCUACACUGGUCGCAGCGCCCUGCAGACUGGCUGCCACUAGAUCUAACACAGAAGAGCAAGGGACAAACAAGGAGGCUGAGACAGAAGGAUUACAGAGAGUUGGAGCCCAGCCUGGGCUACAUGGUGAGUUCAAGUCCAGCCUGAACUACAUAGCAAGACUUUGUCCCAAAAAAACCAAAAACAAAAAGUAGAGGCCGAAGCUACUUGGGAAGCUGAGGCAGGAGGAUCACCAGCUCUGGCCAGCCUGAGCAAUUCAGGGAGAUCCAUCUCCAAAAAAAAGAGGGUGGGGAUUUAGUACCAAGGCCCUGGAUUCAAUCCUUUGAACUGCAAGGAAAGCAACAACAAACAACAACAACAAAAGAAGUUCCACGAAGAGUUUAGUGAAAUGAAAACAUAUACAGAGACAGGAAGGAGUUUAAGUAAAAUACAUGAUAGUUUCAUUAUGUAUAUCUAAAAUGUAACAAUAAAUAUUUUGCUGUAAAAAAAUAAUAAAACCAGGUGCCAGGAUAUGCCUCAAUGGUAGACUGUUUGCCUAGCGCAUGCAGAUCCUUGUUGAAUCCUCACCACUGCAAAAUAAAGAAACAAUGCAAUGAAAAUAAAGUUGCAUACAAUUUCUGUGUGAAUAAAGUAAUAAAAUGGAUUGCUGUGUGCCCUGCACCUUGCUCCGUGUUGUAUGUGUCCUUUACCAUCCCAGGUUAAAGGCCCAGGGAACCCCUCGACAGGGUCUUCUGG